AGUGAACGCUGGCGGUAGGCCUAACACAUGCCAGUCGAACGGCAGCACAGUAAGAGCUUGCUCUUACGGGUGGCGAGUGGCGGACGGGUGAGGAAUACAUCGGAAUCUACUUUUUCGUGGGGGAUAACGUAGGGAAACUUACGCUAAUACCGCAUACGACCUACGGGUGAAGGCAGGGGAUCUUCGGACCUUGCGCGAUUGAAUGAGCCGAUGUCGGAUUAGCUAGUUGGCGGGGUAAAGGCCCACCAAGGCGACGAUCCGUAGCUGGUCUGAGAGGAUGAUCAGCCACACUGGAACUGAGACACGGUCCAGACUCCUACGGGAGGCAGCAGUGGGGAAUAUUGGACAAUGGGCGCAAGCCUGAUCCGGCCAUACCGCGUGGGUGAAGAAGGCCUUCGGGUUGUAAAGCCCUUUUGUUGGGAAAGAAAAGCAGCAGGUUAAUACCCCGCUGUUCUGACGGUACCCAAAGAAUAAGCACCGGCUAACUUCGUG
rnacentral:rRNA from 1 species